rnacentral:rRNA from 1 species
CCUUUGUACACACCGCCCGUCGCUACUACCGAUUGAAUGGCUUAGUGAGGCCUCUGGAUCGGCUCCGAAUGGCUGGCAACGGCCUCUCGCUGUCGAGAAGUUGGUCAAACUUGGUCAUUUAGAGG